rnacentral:rRNA from 1 species
AUACAUAGGGGGCAAGCGUUAUCCGGAAUUAUUGGGCGUAAAGGGUGCGUAGGCGGUCUAUUAAGUCUGAGGUGUAAGUGCAGGGCUCAACCCUGUGAUGCUUUAGAAACUGGUAGACUUGAGUGAGAUGGAGGCAAGUGGAAUUCCAUGUGUAGCGGUAAAAUGCGUAAAUAUAUGGAGGAACACCAGUGGUGAAGGCGGCUUGCUGGGUCUAUACUGACGCUGAGGCAUGAAAGCGUGGGGAGCAAACAGGAUUAGAUACCCUGGUAGUCCACGCCGUAAACGAUGAGUACUAAGUGUUGCGAGAACGCAGUGCUGAAGUUAACAUAUUAAGUACUCCGCCUGAGUAGUACGUACGCAAGUAUGAAACUCAAAUGAAUUGACGGGG